rnacentral:rRNA from 1 species
AUUGAACGCUGGCGGUAUGCCUAACACAUGCAAGUCGAACGGCAGCACAGUAAGAGCUUGCUCUUACGGGUUGCGAGUGGCGGACGGGUGAGGAAUACAUCGGAAUCUACUUUUUCGUGGGGGAUAACGUAGGGAAACUGACGCUAAUACCGCAUACGACCUACGGGUGAAAGCAGGUGAUCUUCGGACCUUGCGCGAUUGAAUGAGCCGAUGUCGGAUUAGCUAGUUGGCGGGGUAAAGGCCCACCAAGGCGACGAUCCGUAGCUGGUCUGAGAGGAUGAUCAGCCACACUGGAACUGAGACACGGUCCAGACUCCUACGGGAGGCAGCAGUGGGGAAUAUUGGACAAUGGGCGCAAGCCUGAUCCAGCCAUACCGCGUGGGUGAAGAAGGCCUUCGGGUUGUAAAGCCCUUUUGUUGGGAAAGAAAAGCAGCAGGUUAAUACCCCGCUGUUCUGACGGUACCCAAAGAAUAAGCACCGGCUAACUUCGUG